GGGCAUGUGAUGUAGUUGGUUAUCACGCUCGCUUAGCAUAUUGGAGCACUGAGUACUGACCGCUUGCGAGAGGGGUCCGGUUCAAUCCCGGACAUGUCCA
rnacentral:tRNA from 1 species